rnacentral:rRNA from 1 species
CUUUCCCUCUGGCGGUAGGCCUAACACAUGCAAGUCGAACGGCAGCACAGUAAGAGCUUGCUCUUACGGGUGGCGAGUGGCGGACGGGUGAGGAAUACAUCGGAAGCUACUUGUUCGUGGGUGAGAACGUAGGGAAACUUACGCUAAUACCGCAUAGGACCUACGGGUGAAAGCAGCGGAUCUUCGGACCUUGCGCGAUUGAAUGAGCCGAUGUCGGAUUAGCUAGUUGGCGGGGUAAAGGCCCACCAAGGCGACGAUCCGUAGCUGGUCUGAGAGGAUGAUCAGCCACACUGGAACUGAGACACGGUCCAGACUCCUACGGGAGGCAGCAGUGGGGAAUAUUGGACAAUGGGCGCAAGCCUGAUCCAGCCAUACCGCGUGGGUGAAGAAGGCCUUCGGGUUGUAAAGCCCUUUUGUUGGGAAAGAAAAGCAGCAGGUUAAUACCCCGCUGUUCUGACGGUACCCAAAGAAUAAGCACCGGCUAACUUCGUG